UACCAGACUCCUACGGGAGGCAGCAGUGGGGGAUAUUGCACAAUGGGGGAAACCCUGAUGCAGCGACGCCGCGUGGGCGAAGAAGUAUUUCGGUAUGUAAAGCCCUAUCAGCAGGGAAGAAGAAAUGACGGUACCUGAGUAAGAAGCACCGGCUAAAUACGUGCCAGCAGCCGCGGUAAUACGUAUGGUGCAAGCGUUAUCCGGAUUUACUGGGUGUAAAGGGAGCGCAGGCGGCACGGCAAGCCUGAUGUGAAAGCCCGCGGCCCAACCGCGGGACUGCUCUGGAAACUGCGUCGCUGGAGUACGGGAGGGGCAGGCGGAAUUCCUGGUGUAACGGUGAAAUGCGUAGAUAUCAGGAGGAACACCGGCGGCGAAGGCGGCCUGCUGGACCGUGACUGACGUUGAGGCUCGAGAGCGUGGGGAGCAAACAGGAUUAGAUACCCGAGUA
rnacentral:rRNA from 1 species